rnacentral:rRNA from 1 species
UGGGGAAUAUUGCACAAUGGGCGCAAGCCUGAUGCAGCCAUGCCGCGUGUAUGAAGAAGGCCUUCGGGUUGUAAAGUACUUUCAGCGGGGAGGAAGGGAGUAAAGUUAAUACCUUUGCUCAUUGACGUUACCCGCAGAAGAAGCACCGGCUAACUCCGUGCCAGCAGCCGCGGUAAUACGGAGGGUGCAAGCGUUGUCCGGAUUUAUUGGGCGUAAAGCGCACGCAGGCGGUCUGUCAAGUCGGAUGUGAAAUCCCCGGGCUUAACCUGGGAACUGCAUUCGAAACUGGCAGGCUAGAGUCUUGUAGAGGGGGGUAGAAUUCCAGGUGUAGCGGUGAAAUGCGUAGAGAUCUGGAGGAAUACCGGUGGCGAAGGCGGCCCCCUGGACAAAGACUGACGCUCAGGUGCGAAAGCGUGGGGAGCAAACAGG